rnacentral:misc_RNA from 1 species
GAUGAAGAACGUAGCAAAAUGCGAUAAGUAAUGUGAAUUGCAGAAUUCAGUGAAUCAUCGAAUCUUUGAACGCACAUUGCGCCCAUUAGUAUUCUAGUGGGCAUGCCUGUUCGAGCGUCAUUUCAACCCUUAAGCCUAGCUUAGUAUUGGGAAUCGACUUUACUGUCGUUCCUCAAAUUCAACGGCGGAUUUAUAGCAAUCUCCGAACGUAGUAAUUUUUUUUCUCGUUUUUGAAAUACUAUAAACCUCAGCCGCUAAACCCCCAAUUUCUUAUGGUUGACCUCGGAUCAGGUAGGAAUACCCGCUGAACUUAAGCAUAUCAAUAAGCGGAGGA